CCUACGGGCGGCAGCAGUGGGGAAUAUUGGACAAUGGGCGAAAGCCUGAUCCAGCCAUGCCGCGUGUGUGAAGAAGGCCUUCGGGUUGUAAAGCACUUUCAGUGGGGAAGAAAGCCUUGGGGCUAAUACCCUCGAGGAAGGACAUCACCCACAGAAGAAGCACCGGCUAACUCCGUGCCAGCAGCCGCGGUAAUACGGAGGGUGCGAGCGUUAAUCGGAAUUACUGGGCGUAAAGCGCGCGUAGGCGGUCUGAUAAGCCGGUUGUGAAAGCCCCGGGCUCAACCUGGGAACGGCAUCCGGAACUGUCAGGCUAGAGGGCAGGAGAGGAAGGUAGAAUUCCCGGUGUAGCGGUGAAAUGCGUAGAGAUCGGGAGGAAUACCAGUGGCGAAGGCGGCCUUCUGGACUGACACUGACGCUGAGGUGCGAAAGCGUGGGUAGCAAACAGGAUUAGAUACCCCGGUAGUC
rnacentral:rRNA from 1 species